UGACUCAAUCAAAGGUCCCGU
rnacentral:misc_RNA from 1 species